rnacentral:rRNA from 1 species
AUGUCUGGAGUAAUAACUAAGUUCGCUGUUACAUCGAUGUUCAUGUGGAUGGCCCCAGUUGCAAUUAUGUAUGGGUUCUACCACCGGAUUUUUCCAGGUAUUAGUCAGCUUUCAUCCUCAGCGCAAACUCUGGCCAGUGGGUUCCUUGCUGUCAUAUCAGUUAAUAUUGUGAUUGGCUUCUACAUAUACUCCGCGAUGAAGGUGGCUCCUUGCCAAGAGCCACAACCUGAUGCAACCUUCUUAGCGAAUGCUAAAGCAAGUAUUAACCAGCCAGCAUCUUCUCAAGUGAGUGAUGAUUCCAACGGGAAGGGGAAGGUGGAGUAG